rnacentral:rRNA from 1 species
AAUAGAUACCCCGGUAGUCCACGCCGUAAACGAUGAGUGCUAAGUGUUAGAGGGUUUCCGCCCUUUAGUGCUGCAGCUAACGCAUUAAGCACUCCGCCUGGGGAGUACGGCCGCAAGGCUGAAACUCAAAGGAAUUGACGGGGGCCCGCACAAGCGGUGGAGCAUGUGGUUUAAUUCGAAGCAACGCGAAGAACCUUACCAGGUCUUGACAUCCUCUGACAACCCUAGAGAUAGGGCUUUCCCCUUCGGGGGACAAAGUGACAGGUGGUGCAUGGUUGUCGUCAGCUCGUGUCGUGAGAUGUUGGGUUAAGUCCCGCAACGAGCGCAACCCUUGAUCUUAGUUGCCAGCAUUCAGUUGGGCACUCUAAGGUGACUGCCGGUGACAAACCGGAGGAAGGUGGGGAUGACGUCAAAUCAUCAUGCCCCUUAUGACCUGGGCUACACACGUGCUACAAUGGAUGGUACAAAGGGCUGCAAACCUGCGAAGGUAAGCGAAUCCCAUAAAGCCAUUCUCAGUUCGGAUUGCAGG